rnacentral:rRNA from 1 species
UUAAGCGACUAAGCGUACACGGUGGAUGCCCUGGCAGUCAGAGGCGAUGAAGGACGUGCUAAUCUGCGAAAAGCGUCGGUAAGGUGAUAUGAACCGUUAUAACCGGCGAUGUCCGAAUGGGGAAACCCAGUGUGAUUCGUCACACUAUCGUUAACUGAAUACAUAGGUUAACGAGGCGAACCGGGGGAACUGAAACAUCUAAGUACCCCGAGGAAAAGAAAUCAACCGAGAUUCCCCCAGUAGCGGCGAGCGAACGGGGAGCAGCCCAGAGUCUGAAUCAGCUUGUGUGUUAGUGGAACGGUCUGGAAAGUCCGACGGUACAGGGUGAUAGUCCCGUACACCAAAAUGCACAGGCUGUGAACUCGAAGAGUAGGGCGGGACACGUGGUAUCCUGUCUGAAUAUGGGGGGACCAUCCUCCAAGGCUAAAUACUCCUGACUGACCGAUAGUGAACCAGUACCGUGAGGGAAAGGCGAAAAGAACCCCGGCGAGGGGAGUGAAAAAGAACCUGAAACCGUGUACGUACAAGCAGUGGGAGCACCUUCGGGUGUGACUGCGUACCUUUUGUAUAAUGGGUCAGCGACUUAUAUUCUGUAGCAAGGUUAACCGUAUAGGGGAGCCGCAGGGAAACCGAGUCUUAACUGGGCGUUAAGUUGCAGGGUAUAGACCCGAAACCCGGUGAUCUAGCCAUGGGCAGGUUGAAGGUUGGGUAACACUAACUGGAGGACCGAACCGACUAAUGUUGAAAAAUUAGCGGAUGACUUGUGGCUGGGGGUGAAAGGCCAAUCAAACCGGGAGAUAGCUGGUUCUCCCCGAAAGCUAUUUAGGUAGCGCCUCGUGAAUUCAUCUUCGGGGGUAGAGCACUGUUUCGGCUAGGGGGUCAUCCCGACUUACCAACCCGAUGCAAACUACGAAUACCGAAGAAUGUUAUCACGGGAGACACACGGCGGGUGCUAACGUCCGUCGUGAAGAGGGAAACAACCCAGACCGCCAGCUAAGGUCCCAAAGUCACAGUUAAGUGGGAAACGAUGUGGGAAGGCACAGACAGCCAGGAUGUUGGCUUAGAAGCAGCCAUCAUUUAAAGAAAGCGUAAUAGCUCACUGGUCGAGUCGGCCUGCGCGGAAGAUGUAACGGGGCUAAACUGUGCACCGAAGCUGCGGCAGCGACACUAUGUGUUGUUGGGUAGGGGAGCGUUCUGUAAGCCUGCGAAGGUGGCCUGUGAGGGUUGCUGGAGGUAUCAGAAGUGCGAAUGCUGACAUAAGUAACGAUAAAGCGGGUGAAAAGCCCGCUCGCCGGAAGACCAAGGGUUCCUGUCCAACGUUAAUCGGGGCAGGGUGAGUCGACCCCUAAGGCGAGGCCGAAAGGCGUAGUCGAUGGGAAACAGGUUAAUAUUCCUGUACUUGGUGUUACUGCGAAGGGGGGACGGAGAAGGCUAUGUUAGCCGGGCGACGGUUGUCCCGGUUUAAGCAUGUAGGCUGGUUAUCCAGGCAAAUCCGGAUAAUCAAGGCUGAGGUGUGAUGACGAGGCACUACGGUGCUGAAGUAACAAAUGCCCUGCUUCCAGGAAAAGCCUCUAAGCAUCAGGUAACAUCAAAUCGUACCCCAAACCGACACAGGUGGUCAGGUAGAGAAUACCAAGGCGCUUGAGAGAACUCGGGUGAAGGAACUAGGCAAAAUGGUGCCGUAACUUCGGGAGAAGGCACGCUGGUGUGUAGGUGAAGCCCCUGCGGGUGGAGCUGAGACCAGUCGAAGAUACCAGCUGGCUGCAACUGUUUAUUAAAAACACAGCACUGUGCAAACACGAAAGUGGACGUAUACGGUGUGACGCCUGCCCGGUGCCGGAAGGUUAAUUGAUGGGGUUAUCCGUAAGGAGAAGCUCUUGAUCGAAGCCCCGGUAAACGGCGGCCGUAACUAUAACGGUCCUAAGGUAGCGAAAUUCCUUGUCGGGUAAGUUCCGACCUGCACGAAUGGCGUAAUGAUGGCCAGGCUGUCUCCACCCGAGACUCAGUGAAAUUGAACUCGCUGUGAAGAUGCAGUGUACCCGCGGCAAGACGGAAAGACCCCGUGAACCUUUACUAUAGCUUGACACUGAACAUUGAGCCUUGAUGUGUAGGAUAGGUGGGAGGCUUUGAAGCGUGGACGCCAGUCUGCGUGGAGCCAACCUUGAAAUACCACCCUUUAAUGUUUGAUGUUCUAACGUUGGCCCCUGACCGGGGUUGCGGACAGUGUCUGGUGGGUAGUUUGACUGGGGCGGUCUCCUCCCAAAGCGUAACGGAGGAGCACGAAGGUUAGCUAAUCCUGGUCGGACAUCAGGAGGUUAGUGCAAUGGCAUAAGCUAGCUUGACUGCGAGCGUGACGGCGCGAGCAGGUGCGAAAGCAGGUCAUAGUGAUCCGGUGGUUCUGAAUGGAAGGGCCAUCGCUCAACGGAUAAAAGGUACUCCGGGGAUAACAGGCUGAUACCGCCCAAGAGUUCAUAUCGACGGCGGUGUUUGGCACCUCGAUGUCGGCUCAUCACAUCCUGGGGCUGAAGUAGGUCCCAAGGGUAUGGCUGUUCGCCAUUUAAAGUGGUACGCGAGCUGGGUUUAGAACGUCGUGAGACAGUUCGGUCCCUAUCUGCCGUGGGCGCUGGAGAAUUGAGGGGGGCUGCUCCUAGUACGAGAGGACCGGAGUGGACGCAUCACUGGUGUUCGGGUUGUCAUGCCAAUGGCACUGCCCGGUAGCUAAAUGCGGAAGAGAUAAGUGCUGAAAGCAUCUAAGCACGAAACUUGCCCCGAGAUGAGUUCUCCCUGAGACUUUAAGUCUCCUGAAGGAACGUUGAAGACGACGACGUUGAUAGGCCGGGUGUGUAAGCGCAGCGAUGCGUUGAGCUAACCGGUACUAAUGAACCGUGAGGCUUAACCUU